GCGCGAAGCCCCCCUCGAGAUGAGGUUUCCCAUAGCGAAAGCUAGUAAGACCCCUGGGAGACUACCAGGUAGAUAGGCCGGGAGUGUAAGAAGAGCAAUCUUUUUAGCGGACCGGUACUAAUCGGUCGAGGGCUUGACCAUAAAA
rnacentral:rRNA from 1 species